rnacentral:rRNA from 1 species
CUACGGGGGGCUCCAGUGGGGAAUAUUGCACAAUGGGCGCAAGCCUGAUGCAGCCAUGCCGCGUGUAUGAAGAAGGCCUUCGGGUUGUAAAGUACUUUCAGCGGGGAGGAAGGGAGUAAAGUUAAUACCUUUGCUCAUUGACGUUACCCGCAGAAGAAGCACCGGCUAACUCCGUGCCAGCAGCCGCGGUAAUACGGAGGGUGCAAGCGGUAAUCGGAAUUACUGGGCGUAAAGCGCACGCAGGCGGUUUGUUAAGUCAGAUGUGAAAUCCCCGGGCUCAACCUGGGAACUGCAUCUGAUACUGGCAAGCUUGAGUCUCGUAGAGGGGGGUAGAAUUCCAGGUGUAGCGGUGACAUGCGUAGAGAUCUGGAGGAAUACCGGUGGCGAAGGCGGCCCCCUGGACGAAGACUGACGCUCAGGUGCGAAAGCGUGGGGAGCAAACAGGAUUAGAUACCCCAGUAGUC